rnacentral:lncRNA from 1 species
AUUUAAUCGUGUCCCCGGGGGAGAUUCGUUCUCAUUUUUCUACUGCUCUUGAUGUUCAGCCCACAAGACCUUACUGGUGAAGGAAUGGGACAAGACCCAUCUUUAUGCAAAGCCAGCGUUACAGUAAUGUCCCAGGUAUUCCUGAUGACAGUCUGCCUUCUAUCUUACAGAGCAGCUUGUUGCUAUAUACCAUUGAAAAGCCUUCAGAGCUGAGAGGUACUACUAACCAAUAACCUGCUUGGCUCAAAGGGCCAGCACCUUCUCUCUAAAGCCCAAGAGGAGUUUGAGGAAAACUAGGUGUCUGUGUUCACUCCAGGCUGAAGUUACAGGUCUGAGCAAAUAAGGUGUAUAAAAAAUGGAAUCUGUCUUGGAGGACAUCGGAAGGUGAAUUUUCCAAGUCCUUGGACAACCUAGCUGUUGAAAAGCUUUCUGGGUUUGGGGAGUAUUUCAGAUGUACCUUAAAGUGUUAGCAGACACAGAUUAAGACACUGGGAGCCAAUGAAACAGCAGUUGAGGGUUUGCUGUGUAUCACAUUUCUGUAUUUUAUCACCCCCUUCCUGCAACAUUAUUUCUCUGGAAUCUACCUGCCCUUUUGUUUUUUAGAUACAAGGGCUUGGUUUUGUUACCCAGGCUGGUUUCAAGGCCAUAGCUUUAAGAGAUCCUCUCACCACAGAUUUCCAAAGUGCUGGGAUUGCAGGUGUGAUUCAUGGCACCCAGACUUUGCUGCCUUUCUUACAUAAUCCAGGCCCAGAACCCAAACUCAGGCACUGCAUAGAUGACCA